GUGAAUCUCCCAAUCCUUAAUUGAAGUAUAAAAGGGAAAAGAAAAAAAAAAUCCAAAAAAUCGAUUGAAUAAUUAAGUGUUAGUUAUUUUAUUAUCAAGUCAUUCUCUUUCUUUGGAUUAAUAAAAAAGAAAUUGUAUUAGUCACAAUUUUUGUUGUCAAUCGGUUUCUCAAUGAAAUCAUCUUUCACUAUUUCUCCUUCCUUUUUCAAAAUUCGAAUCCUCCUCUAAUUAAAAUAAGUAAAUCACCUCCUUUCUGAUC
rnacentral:lncRNA from 1 species